CACACUGAAUUAAAAGUAUUUAUCUGCCUCGUUUGCUUCGAGACACUCUCUGUCAUGAAAGAUUUCAACCUGAUUCACCACGACACCAGCGAUCUGAAAAAUGCACCAACAGCUAUUUGUCCUCCACAAGAACCGUGGACAGUUCGUUUGAAGUGCAUCAGGGCUUACUAGAUUUGGGUCCUCCAAGAACGCAGACAUAUUCAACGCUUAAUAGUGUUACAAACACGUAUGAUGGCUUGGCUUUGAUUGCUGUUUCAUCAGGCAGAGUGGACGAGAUGAACUUUACUGCACGAGAGACUGCGCUGUCAUACCGGCAGCUCUGAAGCAAUUAUACGGGCGGACCGGAGAGUUUUAUUUGAUAUGGAUGGCUUGCUUGUGUUGAAUCCCCUCCAAAAAUAAAGGUAAGUGAUUUAAGUCGGAAUCAGUAGCUCAAGAUGACAUUAUUGCAACUUUUCCAUUGAUAAUGAUAAUAUAUCAAGACCAAGGUUGUUAUACUUAACAGAAACUAGCGGAAU